AUAAAAUAAAAUAAUAAAAUGAUUGCAGGUAAUGCUGAUGAUGUCCCAGCAUCACACUGGCAGGUGACUUUCCUGGUCCAGCUUUCAGUGGACGUGGUGCUUCGCACAUUUAGCACACAGGAGGGGCUGGCCCAGUCCUGGAGGGGUGGCUCUGGCCCCCAGCUCCUCCCUGGUGGCUCCUCUCCCUGGUGCUCCCUGGAUCGUGGGAAAUCGUCCAAGGCUGCUUCUCCACGAGGGGUCUGCUCUCACUUAGGGCGAAGAUCCACUGGACGACCUCUAUGGUGCAGGCAUCAACCUGUUGGCAUUGAGGACGUGAGUCUGCACUGGAGGCAGCAGGUCCCGGGAGCCCCAGGGGUCAGACUCAAGGCUGUGGUUGCGGACAUGGGCUGGUCUCAGCAUCCCAGGCUUAAGGUGAAGAGCCACUGGCCCCGGGAGGGAACUUAUCAACUGCCCUUCUAGUAUUUAAUUAAUUAAUCAAUCAAACUAAUUUUGGGCUGUACCCACAGCAUGUGGACAUUCCUGUGCCAGGGAUCGAACACGUGCCACAGUGGUAACCAGAGCCCCAGCAGUGGCAACACGGGAUCCUUAACCCGCUGAGCCAUCGGGGAACACCUCGAGUGUUUCAGUAUUUUAACAGCCAGCAUGGCGGUACUGCUGGGCUGGGAGGAGUUCCUCCUUGGAAACAAGACUGUUAUUCCCCUUCGCCGCCAUCCUCACCAGAAAUCUUCAGGAACACGUUCUGCUGUCUCACCUCACUGUCUUUCCACAGGAAAUGGGUACCACUUUUCCCACCAUGGGCAGCAUACUCUGCCUGCUUCCCUGAGGUCGAUGAUGAAGAGAUGCUCUUUCUACCCAGAUCCAUCUGGGAAGGUCCCUACCAUGGCCCGCAGGUUCCUGUACUUGCAGGAUCUCCUACUCCAUCUGUUUUACUUAAUAUAUUACAGCGUUGGCCUCAAGGAACGAGCUCUCUGAAGGCGGCAGGAUCAUCGUGUCAGCCUUAUUUCUUCGAUCGUGGCUCUCUCGUGCACCAGUUGCUGUACAAACCGCCCUGAUUUUAUAGCCAGCCUUAGACAUGUGAGAUUCCAAUUGACUGUGAGGCCCUGGAGGCGCCAGCAGGCAGGUGCCUGCCCACAGCAGCAGGGCGCCCUUAUUUUCUAGUCCGCCUCUCAAGGACAAACGUAAACCCUCCGAGAACACCGAUGGAGGGGCGGCCCUCUGAGCGCCUGGAGUCACUGCGAGUCUGCUAAUGAUGCUGGAUCAAGUCGUCUCAUUCCGGGUAACAGACCAGGGACCCUUUGUCUGGGGCGAGCCCAGGGAGCCAGUAGCAAGAUUAAGAAACACUAUUGAUGACACACCUUUUAAAAGGUACUGAUUCUGUUUGUCAUCUUGGUAGAAACCCCACAGCUUGCAUAUGAAGAUAAGAAAUGAGUUCUUGGAGUUCCCGUUGUGGCUCAGUGGUUAAGCAAUCCGACUAG